UACGUAGGGGGCGAGCGUUGUCCGGAUUUAUUGGGCGUAAAGAGCUCGUAGGCGGUUUGGCAAGUCGGGUGUGAAAACUCCGGGCUCAACUCGGAGACGCCACUCGAUACUGCUAUGACUCGAGUCCGGUAGGGGAGUGCGGAAUUCCUGGUGUAGCGGUGAAAUGCGCAGAUAUCAGGAGGAACACCGAUGGCGAAGGCAGCUCGCUGGGACGGUACUGACGCUGAGGCGCGAAAGCGUGGGGAGCAAACAGG
rnacentral:rRNA from 1 species